UACGUAGGGUGCGAGCGUUAAUCGGAAUUACUGGGCGUAAAGCGCACGUAGGCGGCUUUGUAAGUUAGAGGUGAAAGCCCGGAGCUCAACUUCGGAAUUGCCUUUAAGACUGCAUCGCUUGAAUCAUGGAGAGGUCAGUGGAAUUCCGAGUGUAGAGGUGAAAUUCGUAGAUAUUCGGAAGAACACCAGUGGCGAAGGCGACUGACUGGACAUGUAUUGACGCUGAGGUGCGAAAGCGUGGGGAGCAAACAGG
rnacentral:rRNA from 1 species